rnacentral:lncRNA from 10 species
GUGGCUGUGGUUCGCGGCGGUGCUGUCGCGGGCGCCCUGGCGCAGCCCACGCAGGGGCUCCUGAGGGGAGACAUAAGACAUCAGUCAGUACAUGUGAGGUGUGCAUUGGAUUGAUCCAGAAAGUCAGGACGACUCCAAGUGGAAAGGCCUCCAGGUAAUAGGUGGAUUCAAAGAUGUUUCUGAUUGGCAGUUGGUUGAAAGAAGUUACUAUCUGAAGGCUUGGAAUCAAUAGAAAGGAGUGUCUGGGUUAAGAGAAGGGGCUGUGGAGACCGAGGUCCUUAUUAUGUGGAUGAAAUCUCAUAGGUGUCCGCCCUCAGAGGCAAUACAUGGCAAAUGUUUCCUAUUCAGACCUUCAAAAGGCACUAGACUCUCAGCCAGUCUCCUCAGGAUCAGAAAAAGAGCUGGAAAGGGAAGGGGAGUCUACAGAAUAUGAAUUUCCCCACAAGACACCGCUUUGCGGGGCCAUUUCAAAAUUUGUCAAAGAGAUAUAUUUUGGGGUAAAAUACAUUGAUACUUUGAGGGCCUGUUGUCACGUGAUGCUAUACCAGCGUCAGAUUGGAACUUGGUGUCUUGCUGCUAUGGAGUCUGCUGUCAGUCUGGUCAGCUGCACCUGAACUCCAAAGGGAGGUGGGUAUAAUGAGCCAUGUCCAAUCCCCGUCCCUUCCUGGCCUGAGCUCAUUUUUCAGGUUCUUCAGAAUCCCCCUGGUGGAGAUGAGGGAUCCAUUCAGUGGGUUGGGGAAGCUUAGAGUUUUAUUUUUGAUUUACACUAUGUGAAGCAGAAAUUAAAAUACUGUAACCCUGAUAGGGUUAUUUUAAAGCUGCAGGAAUCAAGGCAGGUUGCCGUGGGUAAGAGGAUAGACAGGCAGGUCAUGU